rnacentral:rRNA from 1 species
GUCCACUGAACCUUAUCAUAAGGAGAAGUCGUAACAAGGUUUCCGUAGGUGAACCUGCGGAAGGAUCAUUGUCGAACCUGCUUCAUGCAAAAAACAACCAACCCCGGCGCAGUACGCGCCAAGGAAUAGAAAAUGAAAAGGGCGUGCUUUUCUUUCGGAAUGCAUUGCCUUCUUUCAAGAAUCAAAAUGACUCUCGGCAACGGAUAUCUCGGCUCUCGCAUCGAUGAAGAACGCAGCAAAAUGCGAUACUUGGUGUGAAUUGCAGAAUCCCGUGAAUCAUCGAGUUUUUGAACGCAAGUUGCGCCCGAAGCCAUUAGGCCGAGGGCACGCCUGCCUGGGUGUCACACAUCGUUUCCCCAACGCAAACAUGUAACAAUGUUGCUGCGCGGGGUGUAUGCUGACCUCCCGCGAGCACCCGCCUCGUGGUUGGUUGAAAUCUGGGUUCAUGGCCGACUUCGCCGUGAUAAAAUGGUGGAUGAGCCACGCUCGAGACCAAUCACGUGCGAGCCGGUCAGUUCUGGACCCAUCGACGACCCUUUGCGUGCACGCACGCUCCCAACGAGACCUCAGGUCAGGCGGGGCUACCCGCUGAG